rnacentral:lncRNA from 1 species
UAAAUGAUAUCUGAAUUUGUUUGUUUCGCCUUUUAUUAAAAAAAUUGCUAUGCGUAUAAGCAUAAAACUACAUACUUGCGCGACGCCUUUUAGUUUUACUGAACACUGCGCAGACUAAGAAAUGUUUUUACAAGUGCAAAAUGUUCUAUGAUAGAUAUCAUUUUGUCAGACACUUUUUGUUUUUUGAUUUGGUUCUUAUAACAUGCCAAAAAUCUGUAUAUUUAAUAGAGUUUAACAUUAAAUUAAGCGUUUUACUCUUAACAGACGUAUAACCAAC